CACGUAGGCACCAAGCGUUGUCCGGAUUUAUUGGGCGUAAAGAGCUCGUAGGCGGUUCGGGUAAGUCGGGUGUGAAAACUCUGGGCUCAACCCAGAGCCGCCACCUGAUACUGCUGUGACUCGAGUGCGGUAGGGGAGCGGGGAAUUCCUGGUGUAGCGGUGAAAUGCGCAGAUAUCAGGAGGAACACCGGUGGCGAAGGCGGGUCUCUGGGCCGAUACUGACGCUGAGGCGCGAAAGCUAGGGGGAGCGAACAGG
rnacentral:rRNA from 1 species